GUGUGGUCCGGCCCGGGGGGCGGAGUUACGCCCGGUUAGGCCUUCCGGGAAAGGAGACCCGUAUUCUUAAGUUCCUUCCAGAGUUUCCUGAGUCACACGGAAGUUUGGAACAACUUCGAAGCUAGGUGUUUUACAGAGGAGUGAGUCCGAGUGAGGCCCAGCCCUCAACUCCGCCUCAGGUAUUUUGAAAAGAAGAACUCGGAUUAUAUUAAAUGUGGAGUUCGUAACGAUUUAUUUUGAGUAGUCAAGGAAGACUACAUACCUUGGCUAUCAACCCCACUUUGAUAAUAACUGAGAGACCCAGAGGUUGUCUGGAUUACCACCGUCGUUGUCUCGGACAAAAUAUUCCAAGCUCUGCUGGUCCUCAUCACCAUGAUAUCCUGAUGGUUGUUUAUUGUCAGCCGUUGAUACUGUCUUGUUAUGUACUUAGGGUUCCUUUCACAAUGUGGAGAGGAACAUUUGCCAAAAGGAAAGCUGAGACUGGCUCCAGAUGAAACAUCUCUCUGCCUGGAAAAGGAGUACUUUGUUCCAGAGCCAUAACUGGUCCGGCCCUGCAGAGCAAACUCACACAAUAAAGGAAGGCUGAAGGUUACACACUGAGAACUGGACAACUUGAAGUCAUUAAAGUUUUGAAAAGGCUCCACAGAAGAUCUGAUCCCUAGUUCAUCACCAUCCUUCUUCCGAUCUACAGAAACACUCUUCUCCAAGAGGAGAUGAUGGGCUUAGAAGGAAUGUAAUGAAUGCCAUAAGAAAAGACAACAUGUUGGCUCAAGGCCAGACUCUGGAAGAGAGCAAAGCCAUUUGGUGUCGUGAGGAGGCUCCUGCUGAGAGGGAUGGAAAAAAUGUUGAUGUCAUCCUGAGCCCUGCCUCUGCGAGAGUUGUUUUAUUCUGCCUCGUAUAAAAGGGGCAGCCUAGAUGGAGGUGUCAGAGUUGGAAUGAGUCCCUGAGACCAAACAGGCCCCUCUGGAGCUAUUUCCUCCAUGUCAGGGUUGCACCUCUCACACUGAGAAAAGAAACUUGUGCUGUGGCUACACCAGCUGUGUCUUCUCAGGGACUUGAAGACUCAGUUUCAUACCGGCCAUCCAAGCCUUGUCAUCAACAUUAAACUCACAUUAUAUUUUAAGAUGAGAGAUUCUUAUUAAGCCAGAGUAAAUAAAUCCUUGGUGAGAGAACAACUCCA